CAACUGAUCUUACAUACACCAUUCCUCUGCUGCAUUGGUAUAUCACAGCUGUGAUCUCCACAAGUGAUAAAACUCACCUAUGACUGGUACAGUUUGGGCUAAUAGCAAAGGUUCUAGAAGAUGAUGCUGAAGGAGACAAAAGGAGGAAAGGAAGGAGCAUGGAAGUAUAACUUAUGUGGAGAGGAAUACAGGGUCUUUCAGGGGAGCAGUAGAAUCAGGAGGCUCUACAAGUAAGGAGCCUGGAGGUCAUCUGGUGCCUGGCCCAGGUGGGUAAAAGGUGACAUGUGGAACUCAAAAAAGGAAAA
rnacentral:lncRNA from 1 species